rnacentral:rRNA from 1 species
UAGGGAAUCUUCGGCAAUGGGGGGAACCCUGACCGAGCAACGCCGCGUGAGUGAAGAAGGUUUUCGGAUCGUAAAGCUCUGUUGUUAAGGAAGAACGAGUGUGAGAAUGGAAAGUUCAUACUGUGACGGUACUUAACCAGAAAGGGACGGCUAACUACGUGCCAGCAGCCGCGGUAAUACGUAGGUCCCGAGCGUUGUCCGGAUUUAUUGGGCGUAAAGCGAGCGCAGGCGGUUAAAAAAGUCUGAAGUGAAAGGCAGUGGCUCAACCAUUGUAGGCUUUGGAAACUGUUUAACUUGAGUGCAGAAGGGGAGAGUGGAAUUCCAUGUGUAGCGGUGAAAUGCGUAGAUAUAUGGAGGAACACCGGUGGCGAAAGCGGCUCUCUGGUCUGUAACUGACGCUGAGGCUCGAAAGCGUGGGUAGCAAACAGG